rnacentral:rRNA from 1 species
GACGAACGCUGGCGGCGUGCUUAACACAUGCAAGUCGAACGGUGAAGGGGCCUGCUUUUGUGGGUCCUGGAUGAGUGGCGAACGGGUGAGUAACACGUGAGUAACCUGCCCCCUUCUUCUGGAUAACCGCAUGAAAGUGUGGCUAAUACGGGAUAUUCUGGGUCUGUCGCAUGGUGGGCUUGGGAAAGAUUGCGCCUUUUGGGUGUUUUUGGUGGGGGAUGGGCUCGCGGCCUAUCAGCUUGUUGGUGGGGUGAUGGCCUACCAAGGCGGUGACGGGUAGCCGGCCUGGGAGGGUGGACGGUCACACUGGGACUGAGACACGGCCCAGACUCCUACGGGAGGCAGCAGUGGGGAAUAUUGCACAAUGGGCGCAAGCCGGAUGCAGCGACGCCGCGUGAGGGAUGGAGGCCUUCGGGUUGUGAACCUCUUUCGCCAGUGAAGCAGGCCUGCUCCUGUGUGGGUGGGUUGACGGUAGCUGGAUAAGAAGCGCCGGCUAACUACGUGCCAGCAGCCGCCGUAA